CCACUAGCCGAACGGCAAGCUCGUUUCGUCAUUCGAAGCAAUUAAAAAAUAUAUAAGUAUAUAGGUACGAUGUUGGGCGUUUUGUACCAUGCAUAGUUCUGGUUUUCGCAUGGUUGACAAGUGAUCCGCGACAGGACUUCUGGAAAAAGACCUAAUGCUAAUUAUCGAAUUUUACAUAAAACUGGCUGUUAACAAAUUCAUUUGCUACGUAUUAAACUCAUCAUCAUCAUCAGCCCCAGAAAGUCUACUCCUGAACACAACCUCCCUAAAGAUUUCCAGACGGACCUGUCGAAAGCGGCUUGCAUCCACCGUGUUCCUGCAACCUGCGUACUAAACUCAUUGAUUCUUAAAUAAAUUUGAAUCACAUUUCCAGAUACAGUAACAUGGGUAAAAAACACAUCGGAAAGACGAAUGGCGUUAAUCAAUAACUUCACGUUCACAUUAAACACAACAUCAGGCAAUAGCGUAUCUCUCUGGAGAUGUACGAAAACCUCCCCUCGUUGUAAGGCCCGGUUUACUUUGGUUGACGGGAAGACGAUGGUCAAAGCCCUGUUGGAACACAACCACGCACCGCGAGAAUUCUGUAGCCAUGACGGAUGUGACCAGAUUCGCCGUAGUGUCAAACGGAGGCUUCGGGCACUGGCCUGAAAGAAUCCCACCAGCACCAGGAUCAAAGAAAAAAUCUAGCUACAGGAAAUGCAAGGUGUGCUCUACAAGAAAUUUGCGAAGAGAAACAGGCCUCAGAUGUAAAGGCUGUAAAGGUCAUCCGUCGUUAUGUGCACUGUGUUUUGAAACGUGGCAUGAACGGUUUUGGAAUUUGCGCAUGAACUUACUCCGCUCUUGAAGAGUAGGAGAUGACUGUUGAGUUCGCUAUAGGUUAUGAAGGUUAGGCAAAGCUAAAAUUCACGGUUCGCCGUGUUAAUUCCGUCCGAUAUGAUGCGUGGCUUACUGUUAUGAAUAAAUAUUUUAUUUUGUUACAUUUCUCUUUUUUUUACACACACGCGCUUUUUUAUUCCUGAAGAGGUAGGCAGAGGCGUAACUUGAGGCAUCCAUAACGAAAGAUCACCUACAAAGUUAUGCUUAGGUGAGUACUAUUUAUGACUGCUGGGUAUACCUUGAACAAUAAUAUGUAUACAUGUACUGUCUUCUUUAUUCCAGUUAGAUGAGUGGGAAGUAGCUUAGGAAAGCCGAUAGCGAUUAUUGGCGACUUCAACUACUACAGAGAGUUUAGUUCAAGCAACAGUAUUACUUGGCAAUGUUCCAAAACAUGUCUGAAAUGUAAAGCCCGUCUUACAAUAUACAACGAGAUUAUAGUUAAAGCUCAACUAACGCAUAACCAUGAGCCGUCCGACUUUUCCAUAAAAGAGGGGAUUUACUAUAAAAAAAUAAAGUGCUCAUUACACUGUAGUACGAAAAAGGUUUUUAUUUUGAGUUCAUUGUAAGCAAUAAAAGCGACGGUAUUUUAAUAGACCACGAUGAUUGGCAAGUCAAGGUAAGUAAAGCCAAAAUUAUUUAUCGAAUUUGUGUAAUAUUUUUUAUACUAUAACACUUAUAAGCUCGUUGGUUGUAUAGUACAUCAGUUGAGCCACUAGACCUCUAGGAAGGUACAUUAAAAUCAAGUGUAUCUAGCUAAAAUAUUUUUUUAGUAUAUUCUUACUCCGUCUAUUGGUUUUUUCUUUGCCUAUAAUUUUAUUAGUCAAAGUCAUUCAUCUUUCAGGACCUAUAACCUGGUUGAAGAACAGCACAGGCAGGACUGUAGCCUUGAUCAACCGCUUCACAUACUACCAGGAUAAGGUACGGGGUACGAAUCUGGAGAGAAGUGUGUGGAGAUGUACCAGGUCUUCCCAGUGCAGAGCCAGGUUCACUGUAGUCGAUGGGAAGACUAUAAUACGAGCACAGUUAAGUCAUAACCAUGAUGCAGCUCGUUAUGUGAUAAGGGACGGGUUUUAUAUAAAAUUGUAAGGAUUUGGUGACAGAUUCAGUGACAAGAGCAUUGACAGUUUCCUUCGCAAUGAAAUACGAACCUUAAGGGUAUUUAAAUAAGAUACUUCUUAUAAAUGUGAAAGUUUGUGAUAAUCUUUAGAUGUUUGUAAAAGGAAACAGCAGGAUUUGAAUGAAAUUUGUCACAGUAAAAGACCCUGUGCUGGACUAUCGCAUAGGCUACUUAUUAUCCUGGUAAUUUUCUCCCAUGGCAAAUGUUUUUUUUUUAUUAAAUAGAUGGCGCUAGCGUUGUACUGGUGUCGCCAUAAAUCGCUUGAGAGUGUGAAGGUCUUAAUAGCAGGAAAGGUUUUUCACGCGACCAAAGCCGCGAGCAACACCUAGUUUCAAAUAAUUUCGAAUAAAGAAGUAAUUUUAAGAGUUAAACUUAAAUAACUUAAAAGAAUACUUUACCGUCAUUUGCUCUCUGGUUGAUCGUAGGAACAUAAGUAAUGGCUAUGAUUACAAUGUAAAUUCUAUUGUAAAAAUGAGCUAUGAAAGUGCUUUUUCUUACUAUUUAUUAUACUAAGAUUAAAAUCACCAUCCCUGUACGAAUGGUUAUUCGGCUGUGAAUAAAAACGGUGACUUGGAAUAUGAUUCCUGAGACGGAAGUCCAGUAGAAAAUAAGUUCGCUUUUUGGACCAAAUUCUUGUUAAUAUUCGGGUAAAUAAUUUUAGCAACUCCAAAGACAUUAGGACAUAUUUUUAAUAUUGAGUUAUGAGUAAACACUGUUAAUAAUUUGACUAUAGUAAUGUAGUUGAUCUAGUAAUGGUUUACGUUAUUUUUUGAGUGAUGGAGAGAUGGAAUUCAUAAUAUUAAUAAUAUAAGCUGAUUAAAGCAAUGUCAUUCUGUGAUGCGGUAUGUAGGUGUAAAAAAUAUUUUUACACUUUCUUGUGGAUUUAAGUUCUUAUGUCUUAGUACGAAACUUAAAUAUAUAUUUACGUAAAAGACAAAUAGAUUUGCGAGUAUAUGUUUGCGUAAGGACUCAAAAAUAAUUCAAUGCUACUAAAUAAAUUAUUUAAUUUAAAUGUACCCAUUUGGGUGUAGAAGAAGCCAAUGCUAUGAGUGCAUGUGAUUUAUUUUUGUUCAACGUUAUUAUAUAAAAAUAAAAGUUUAGAAAAUAUCCUAAUAUUGUUUUUUUUAUAUUCUUAAUUUGAUAUGUUUAAGAACUAUCUAGCAGUUUAUUAACAGUAAUAAAAUAAUUUUGCUUUUAUUCCACUUUAUAUUUCGUUUUCAAAUUAUUAUUUUAAUAUAACUUUUUUGGUAUCCUUAUUGUCUAAAACGAUGUCCAAAUAUUUUAAUAGUAAAUUUUUUUUAUUACUAUUUUUACAUAUUAUAUAUAUGUUUUAUUAGCCUACCAGACCUGCUGCUGGGUCCCCAGUUUCCUCAAUUUUUAAUUUACUUUGCGAAAUUUAUGCCAUGGCUAUGAUCAGUGCACGUGGGUCUAAUACGACCAUGCGUGGCAUAACAUUACUUCUCUUAUCAUUACUAAACAACCCACCAUUUAAACAAUAAUAAGCCUUAAUAACGUUGUGUUUUAUUUCAGUGCGAAUGUUAAAGAACCAGAACGGGAAAACAAUGGCGUUGUUGAAUCACUUCACGUUCUUCUGUGAGAAGAUAUCCAGCGCGACUACAACGUGGAGGUGUUCCAAGUCCUCCUCUUUUUGCAAGGCUCGCUUUACCAUCGCAUCUGACUUGACCAUGCUGCGAGCAAGGCUGGAUCACAACCAUCCCUCAUCCAGAUAUAUUAUACGGAAUGGUUCUUAUAUAAAACUUUAAUUAAAGACCAAUGUCUGACGAAUGGUAGCCGACGUCAGAACAAUGAUUAUAUAGGACUCUUAGCUUUGAGACAAGGGAAUAAGGAUUAAUUUGAGAUUGUGACACGCGAUGAUCUUACUAAUGCUAUGGAACAACGAAUUUGGUUUUUCACUGUAACUUUCAGUGGGUAACAUUAGUUCGUUUAAAUGCUGUAGAAAUAGCUUUUAAAUAGGGCUAAGUAUUUGUGUAUAUAUUAACUCAUCUAGUCAUGUUAAUAACGUAGGGUUUUGAAAUGAAACGGGGACAGGACGGGGAUUCCCCCCCUCCCCCAUGACCAUGAAGGCUGCAAAGUCUUCGAAACGUCGGAAGAAAAAAUAAAAUACUAAAAACCGCGAUGGAAUCUGAAAAUUAGUUUAAUUUCGACGUAGGGUUACUGGUAAUUUGGGUUAUGGAGUUUUCUCGAAGCUUUCAGAUCUAUCGUACCCCGAUGCAUCAUUAUAAAAGACAAACGCCUUAUUUUCAAGAAAUCGAUUAUAAAGUUAUUGUUUUAAUAAAGUUCAAUGUUCUUUUUAAAAAUACUAUGAUAUAUUGACGUCGAUAUUGUUUGUUAUAAUAUAAGUUUGAUUGAAAUAAAAAUGUAAUAGGUAAACUUUAAUUUUUUUAUGCAUUCUACAUUUAUGGAUUUUUGCAAUGAUUAUGGUAUAAAUUGACUAUUUUAAUUGGCAUUUAGAACAGGGGUCUGGAGUCUUAGUGACUUAUAUAAUAAUUACAUAAAUUGUGACGUUAAAAUUAUUUAUAUUACUUGAAUUAAAUUUUUGUAAAUGCUUAAAUGAUUUGUUCUUUACAUCUCUCGCUACGUAACUUUUUAAAUACUUGCUUUGUAUAUGGUCAAUGAAGAAUAGAAGAUGUAAUUAUUCAAUGUUUUACGACACUGGUAAUAUCAGGAAAGCGGGUUAUCCACAUUUAUUCAAAAUUCUUAGGUUAUUGUGUAACAGAACAUAGGUAAUCAGUAAGUAGGCUACACGAAGGUAAAUUGUACAACACCACAAAAGAAACAAAUUGAGGCACUGUGUAAUGCCCAGAAGGCAUUGGAUGAAAAAAGUAUUUCUUGAUCAUUACUAAAUUCGUAAACUUUUCACACUACCCUCAAAAAGAAUACUACAAAUCUUAACUUUUUCAGUGCAAUGGAUUAAAAACCAAAGAGGAACAACAAUCGCCUUGCUUGGGAACUACACGUACUACAAAGUGUCCAAUAACGAGGUCACGUCCAUCUACCGCUGCACGAAGAACCUGAUCAAUUGCAGGGCCAGGCUUCACAUACAGAACGAAGGGUCGGUGGUGGUAAAAGGAAAUUUGCUUCACAAUCAUCCACCAGAAUAUUUUACGGUCAACAACGGAAUGUAUAUCAAGCUGCGUUUAUAGUACAUUAGUUUAGUAAAUGUUUAUACUAAAUUGGUUUUUAUUUAUAAAGGAUAUUGUGGCGUUUUUAGUAUAUUAGUUUAGAAAAUUUUGAUCCUUUUGUUUUUAUUUAUAAAGGAUAUUGUGGCGUUUUUAGUAUAUUAGUUUAGAAAAUUUUGA
rnacentral:lncRNA from 1 species